AUACGGAGGGUGCAAGCGUUGUUCGGAAUCACUGGGCGUAAAGGGCGCGCAGGCGGUUUGGUAAGUCAGAUGUGAAAGCCCACGGCUCAACCGUGGAAGUGCAUUUGAAACUGCCAGACUGGAGUACCAGAGGGGAAAGUGGAAUUCCCGGUGUAGAGGUGAAAUUCGUAGAUAUCGGGAGGAAUACCGGUGGCGAAGGCGACUUUCUGGCUGGAUACUGACGCUGAGGCGCGAAAGCGUGGGGAGCAAACAGGAUUAGAUACCCUAGUAGUCC
rnacentral:rRNA from 1 species